rnacentral:misc_RNA from 1 species
AAUUGCAGCCAAAUGAGCGCCAUCAUUUCAGGACAAAUCCCUGAGGAAAUGCUUUCUGAUUUGUUAUAAUAUUAACUAUGUCAUUUAGGAUCGUCACUCUGUUUCUGAACAAGAGUGAAUGAAAUGCUAGUUGGUUUCAUUUUAUUCAUCUUUUCAGGCAGCAGCGUCACUAUUUCUAGGAAUUAAAAAGCUAAAGCUAAGGUGUAAGUUAUUAUUUUUAUAAUUUUUCUGCAUAAAGUUGUAUUAUGCAUUUAUAGUUUUUGCCUAUUUACAGUUAAAUUGUACUCGUGCAUAUACAAAUUAGACUGGCAGAUGUUCCUGUGGAUGUGCAGUUGCACCUCUUGUCCAUGUGUAAAGUUUUAAGUUUGAACAAACACAAUGGUGGGAGCUUGUGUGUAAAAUGUGCUGUUGACAUUCUCAAUUUUACUUGCUUUUUUUGGCUUCCCCCCG